UACGUAGGGUGCAAGCGUUGUCCGGAAUUAUUGGGCGUAAAGAGCUUGUAGGCGGUUUGUCGAGUCUGCUGUGAAAUUUCGGGGCUCAACCACGAACUUGCAGUGGGUACGGGCAGACUAGAGUGUGGUAGGGGAGACUGGAAUUCCUGGUGUAGCGGUGAAAUGCGCAGAUAUCAGGAGGAACACCGAUGGCGAAGGCAGGUCUCUGGGCCAUAACUGACGCUGAGAAGCGAAAGCAUGGGGAGCGAACAGG
rnacentral:rRNA from 1 species